AGUGAACGCUGGCGGUAGGCCUAACACAUGCAAGUCGAACGGCAGCACAGUAAGAGCCUGCUCUUACGGGUGGCGAGUGGCGGACGGGUGAGGAAUACAUCGGAAUCUACUUUUUCGUGGGGGAUAACGUAGGGAAACUUACGCUAAUACCGCAUACGACCUACGGGUGAAAGCAGGGGAUCUUCGGACCUUGUGCGAUUGAAUGAGCCGAUGUCGGAUUAGCUAGUUGGCGGGGUAAAGGCCCACCAAGGCGACGAUCCGUAGCUGGUCUGAGAGGAUGAUCAGCCACACUGGAACUGAGACACGGUCCAGACUCCUACGGGAGGCAGCAGUGGGGAAUAUUGGACAAUGGGCGCAAGCCUGAUCCAGCCAUACCGCGUGGGUGAAGAAGGCCUUCGGGUUGUAAAGCCCUUUUGUUGGGAAAGAAAAGCAGCAGGUUAAUACCCCGCUGUUCUGACGGUACCCAAAGAAUAAGCACCGGCUAACUUCGUG
rnacentral:rRNA from 1 species